rnacentral:rRNA from 1 species
UACGUAGGGGGCUAGCGUUGUCCGGAAUCAUUGGGCGUAAAGAGCGUGUAGGCGGCCCGGUAAGUCCGCUGUGAAAGUCGGGGGCUCAACCCUCGAAUGCCGGUGGAUACUGUCGGGCUAGAGUGCGGAAGAGGCGAGUGGAAUUCCUGGUGUAGCGGUGAAAUGCGCAGAUAUCCGAAGGAACACCGGUGGCGAAGGCGGCUCCUGGACCGACACUGACGCUGAGGCGCGAAAGCUAGGGGAGCAAACGGG